CAAUUCUAUUUGGAUAAAGAACAAUUCUUAAAAAUAUAUAAUAAUAGUUGACUUCAGUUGUGUUAAGAACUGUAUUUUGUCCAAAUAGAAAAUUG